GAAGCCAGGCCAAGAAGAAUCCCAGGACUGGAAGGCCUUGUGGGACGUCCCAGGUUUGUCUUGUGUCAAUAGCACUGAUACUCAAUCUCCUACUCCCAUCUGUGAGCAUGCAGACCCUACUUGCCUUCCCACAGCCUCCCUUUUCAUAUUUUUCAUGUUUCUUUAGCUCUGUCUUCAAGCCUUGUUGCUCCCGCAAAAAAACCUGCCUCUUCCUCCAGUCCUCCCAAGCAGGGGGAACAGUCCUGACACCUUUCCAAGCCCUGGUCCAUGGACAUUGUGCCCCCUUCUCCCUGCCCAUGGUGACCUGCUCCAAAACCCUCAAGGAGAAGGGAGUGUAUGUCAUUUCCUCCCUGUAAAGUAAAGAUAAUUUUGCAGGGGACUGUGUGGAUGAAAUGACAUGAUGCAUGGAAAUCCCUUAGCGUGUGCCUGGCAUGUAAACUGCAGGUGUCAUCAUUAUUACUGAGGAAUACUGAGUCCCGAACAUGGCUGUCUCAUUGGUGGACUGGGGUCUCCCCCAGGGCAUUCAUCUACUAUGUGUUUAUUGCACCCUUUUUCCAUGUGAGGCACAUGCCAGGGACUGGGCACAUGGUAUGAACAAGACACAGGUCAUCGGUGUCCUCUUGAGCUCCCUGGCUUGGCAGCAGAUGCAUACCUGGGAAGGAUGCUAGGUCAUCCGGGAACUCUACCUCCUUCAAAUCCCUAAGGACUGUGCUCCCAAUCCGCUUACGCUCAAGGAAGAACUGGUUGUUCACCACGGAGGGAUGCUCCACUGAGGGGGUGAAGCUGUAUGCCUGAAGGGCUGUGUCUACCUAGACGGACAUUCUCUUUCUAAUUGUGACAGAGGCCCUUUAUAGAUUAGCAGUGGCCCUGUGUAUUUCGGGAACUAAAGGGAAAUGGAAAGAUGUUCACAAAAUCUGUCCCACAGGUCAGCCCUAGGUGCAGCUGCAACCUGAGGGACUUGUCCUGGGAUCAGACAUUUUGAGGACUUUCUUGACCCUUGGCUGAUAUCCUUGCAGGCAGGACCUGCAGCUAAGCAAGACGUAGGACUGCAAGCUGGGUUGGCACCCUCCCCCUAGGGAGUUCUCCAGGCCUUGCCCCCUCUGUCCCCAGCCUGGAAGCCCUCCCUGGUACCAUACCCCAGCCGAUGAGAAGGCCCAGAACCAGCCUGCUGUCAGGAUCAGAACAAAAGAGGAGGACUGCAUAUGUAUGGACCCACUCCAGAUGGCACGGGGACGGGGGGAGUAGGAAAAGUGGCAUGAUGAGGAAAUGGAGGCACAGACUGAUUAGAAAACCAGCUCAAGGUCAUGUUGCUGCUCUCUCAUUCCUGUUGAGGGCUCUCUGGUGGAGCCUCUGUCUCACAGGUCACCUGCAGGCCAACACUCCCAGAAGCAGCUAGCACCAUGGUUGACCUCGUCCAGGUCCAGGGAAGGCCUCCCUCUCCAGGACUCCUUUAGAUUUCCCCAGCAUCCAGACCUCACCUGCCUAAGUGCUGUUGCCCUGGAAGCCACAGUGAGCACGAGCUCCAUCUUGCACCUUUACCAGCCAAUGGGGGUAAAGACAUUAGCUGGGAAGCCUGAGACCACAGCUACUGCCUCGAAUCAGAAGCCCCAGCCUCAUCAUCUGGGGCCAGAGAACUAGGGCAGGAGGAGCCAAGUAGCACAGCAGGAAGCAUGAGUCCCUCCGAGGAGAAGCUGGUCUCUGAGAGGAGCACAGAAUGCAGCAGGCUGGAUAAGCCCCCUGCUGAAAUCAUGGGGUAAAAAAGAGACACAGGGGGAAUGGAGGAGCCAGAGAGAAAGCAGUGUGAUCACAGGCACACAGGACAGCAGCUCACCUUCCCAUCCUUGCUGGCUUUUGCACCCAACAGCCCAAAGCCUCCCCGCUGCAAAUUCUUUUUUUUUUUUUUUUUUGCCAGCCUCACUUCCUCUUGGGGAAGGCUGAGCUCUGGUAGAAGAAGAGAAUGAGAACUGCUGUAAAUACUUCUAAGGGGCCAGGCGUGGUGACUCAUGCUUGUAAUUCCAAGCACUUUGGGAGGCUGAGGCAGGUGGAUCACCUGAAGCCAGGAGUUCAAGAGCAGCCUGGCCAACAUGGCGAAACCCUGUCUCUACUAAAAAUACAAAAUUUAGCCAGGCAUGGUGGCGGGAGCCUGUAAUCUCAGCUCCUAGGGAGGCUGAGCCAGAAGAAUCGCUUAAACCUGGAAGCUGGAGGUUGCAGUGAGCCAAGAUCACACCACCACACUCCAGCCUGGGUGACAGAGCAAGACUCCAUCUCAAAAAGAAAAAAAAGAAAAAAAGGAAAUACUUCUAAGUUAUGUGAGAGAGUACAUACUGACAUUUUCAAUGGGUACAAUAA
rnacentral:lncRNA from 1 species